CAUUUUCCAAUCACUUGAUUUAGCCUGGACAUUGCUUCGCAUCUUCCCUCGUGAGCUACUGCACCGUAUACCAGCAAAGACUCUUGACCAAUACUACAGCCGAGAUUCAUCAAAUUGAGAAAUGAGCUCUUUACAGUGCUUAAAUUGUUUUGGAUGGGCUGCAAUUUGUAGAUUGCCUAUUCUAUCCUAGAUUGCAUCUCAGAGUCAUGCAGAAUAAUAAGAGUUGUAUUCCAUUUGGGAUAAAUUUGCUGAGCUAGUCAAAUUGACCCAACUCUAUAUUCUUCCAGUGAAGAGUGCUUUGAUCUUGUAAUUUAUUUAUUAGUUGUUACAUAGUUUUGCUUGUGUACACUAAUUAAUAAUGAACUCGUAACACUAAUUCCUCCAAAAAUUUAUACAUUCCCGAAGGUUAUCAGCACUUCCAAAUAAUGUACAGAACUUUCAAAGGUCUCUAUCUAAUCAAAGACGUGAUAGAUUAAGUUAUUAAAUAAUCAUUUCGUAAGUUCACAUGGUAUUAGCAAAAUAACGUUGAACUCAGCCUGCUUUGGAUGUUCUUACAACCGGUGGCAAGACAACCGAAUCAAGGUCUCCAGGAUAUGGAGUCCAUAGUCCUAAUCCACCUCUGCUCUCUUUCAUACUGCUACCAGUCCCCUUAAACUCGCUUAAACUUUUUACCCAUUCUAUCUUUGAUGAAUGCUCUCUCGUGUGUGGAUGCAGCACAAACAGCGAGUUGUACUCACAAUUUGGAAACAUAAAGAACUUGAACGCACCUCCUAAUCUGUACACAACAUAGCCAAAACUCAACUGAUCUCUCGGAGUGAAGAGGUUGACCUCAUUGAACCACAAGCAGCUAAACAAGUUAUUUAGUGCUGUAUGUUCCCUUAUAAUAAUAGCUCCCUCUGGCACAUCACUAAUGGUGAUUUUCUUCAAACUCCAUGGCUCCAUUCCCUCAUAUCGGUAUAUUUUCAUGUGAAGAUCAAUAAGGGGUCGUGCAUAUCGCUUCCUCCGCUUGUUUGCAUCAGCCUCCUCAUAUAUACUGUGAUGGUGUUUGUGUUGAGCAAUGGCAAAGGUAUUCUUUCCACGCCAUAAGUAUCUUUCAAGAAUUAACAACGGAUCAACUAUCAGCUCCAUUUUACCAUCAAUCCAAAUGCUGUACUGUGCUUGAGGAAAUAACCUGUGGGUUAAAAUCUUGGGAACUUUACCAUUCCUUCUAGGCUCGUUAUAAGGUGGAUGCUUCAGUAGAAUAAGACGCCAUAUGCCGACCCAUAGUCCCCCACUACUGUCCUCCACUACAGUGGCAUUUUCCUUUAUGAAAUCAAGAGAAGCCUCAUCCACCACCAUAAGAAAGCAGAACAGUUUCUUAGAACGGUCACUCAUAUUUGAAGGCUGAUGAGGUACGUCAUAUCCAUCAAAAAUUCCAGAUGCAACCGCAAACCUACACUUAUUAACAUAUUUGAUGUCCAUGGGAUCCAUUUCAGUGCCACCACCACGCAUAAAACCACAAUGAACCUUCAUAGAAGAAUUUAGCUUGAAACUUUCCUCUCUUUGUGACCAGCUUUGAUGUCCUCCAAAUAAUGGGGAUGGCUGAGAUCCAUUAUUCACUAGUUCAUCCUCCAUAAAAUAUGAUAAAUUUUUAACAAUUUUAUCAGGAGUUCCUCCUUCUGGAAUAACUAUUUCGUUAGGAUUAUUGGCUACAGGGAUUGGACAACGAUGUUGUGCAACAAAUCCCCAUGUGUUUAAAACAUUAUACACCUUGCUUUCUUUAUUACAGAUAGCUGCAUGUCAAAUAGAAAUCAUAAUGCUAACCACUACCCUCAAAUAUCUACUUUUAAAUAAGCAAUUUGAAUUUUAUGGGACAUUUUCACUAAAGCAUAUAUAGCAUGAUUUCAUCAUAUUGAUGGUAACAAUUAACAAAUUAAUGAAGAGUUACAGCAUAAUUGCUUAGAAAAUUAAAUAUGAAAAAACAAGAAGCAACAUGACCAAUGUGUGUGUGAGAUUUUGUGUGCAUGCUAACAAUGCCCUAUUUGGCUGCCAAUAUCAUGCAGUAAAAAUAAAGUGAAAUAGAUUACAAUUUCAAAUCAUAGAUUUGCUAACUCUUCUUGAUUCAAGUAGAAAAAAAUCUCAAGUAAGCUAAGCAAGGAAUGGGCUUUACAACUUUGAGAAAAACAGAAAACAUAACAGGGGGAAAUUCAUGCUUAAAACUGAGUAAAUACAUACAUGGAAGAAAAAAAAUUGCAAGAUUCACAUGUUUAAAAAAUACCUGAAAACAAUGCAUAAGAAGAUUGGCAAGACCAAACAUGAAAUAAUAGUACAACUAGAAUCAACAACAUCCACAGAAUACCCGCUACAAGAACCAAACGAAUAAAACCACGCUUCCACAUUAUUUUCAUUGGAUAAUCAUUGGAAAACUUCGCUGAUGAAAAGAGACCACCUUCACCAUCUUUAGAAUGUGAUGUUGGAUUACUUUUGUCUCCUCUUCGGCUUAUCCGCAGGGAUAUGGACCGUUGGAUAUCUUUUUCCAUAGUUAACUUGCUCUGUUGACCUCCUUUUACUAAUCACUUUAAAACACACCCAUCACACAA
rnacentral:misc_RNA from 1 species